UACGGCGGCCAUAGCGUGGGGGAAACGCCCGGACCCAUCUCGAACCCGGAAGCUAAGACCCACAGCGCCCAUGGUACUGCACUCGCGAGGGUGUGGGAGAGUAGGACACCGCCGGAC
rfam:Renibacterium salmoninarum ATCC 33209, complete genome.